CGUCCACGGUUUCUAUCCAACAUCUUAUAUAUAUAAAGUUGAAUUGUGCUCAAAGCACAGCCCUCCACGACACAAAACAGGGUGGGACUUUUGCCGACACGUGUCAGCAAAAGUAGUGCGUCUGUCUCAUGUCACGGGGUUGUGUACUCUAUCUUUCUUCUCGCGCGUCAUGGGUUAUCACGAAAUCGUAAGGACCUAUAUUUGUCAGAAGAAGCAAAUAGGUUGGGCUUCUGUAUGAUUAGUUUAGGCCCAGAAGUGUUUAGGGUUAUUCUUCUUCUGCGUCAUUCUUCUUCUUCCCUCCUCCACGCUGCAGAGAAACCAUAGAAACCGUAACGUCCCAGAAUCUUUACUCUUACAUUUAUUCUGAGUUUUCCAUUCAAUAAUCCACUCUUCAUGCAUUAUGAUUUCGAUCUAUCUCUUCGUUCACCCUGAAACAGGCUCGAACUCCAUCUAUAAAUAUCGGCGCUCACUUCCCUUCACAUCGCAUCUGAAACGAUUUACUCAAACAUACGAUCUCCUAGAAGCAACAUAUUCAGAUGGCGAAUUCAUACACUCUGCUUGCGAAUUUGAGAGCCGGCCGAUGCUCUAAUACUGCUGAGGUCCGCUUGCUGAGGUUCUGGGAGGCCAGAAAUAUCAACAAAGGAGGGGAGCUGAUGAGUAUUGAGAUGCUGCUCAUCGAUGAGGCUGUAAGUGUUCUUCCCAGAUUUUUUUCUGUUUUAUGAAUAUGUUAGAUAAGUUUAUCUGUUUAUGAAUAUGAUAUAUAGAUUUUAUCUGGUUUAGGAGGGGAGCUGAUGAGUAUUAAAGCUUUAUUGGGCUUAUCUUUACCCCUCGAAUGUUCUUUAUACUUGAUGUUUGAGGUGUUUUAGUACAGUUGUGGGUCUGACCAAACUGCACCAUCAGGAUAAUUACUUUAAUUUCCAAAGGAAGUUGCGUGAUCAAAAGUAUUCUUUGAAGAGGUUAUAAUAUAAGAUGGAGUACAAGGAAGAUCUACACAGGAGGCUACUACGCUAGACCAAGGUUUCUCAUUAUUGGAUACACCGGAUUGUUUCUCUUUAUCAAGAGAGGUUACUGUGGAAGAGAAUUUUGCAGAGAUUGAGCUUUAUUUGCUUCUCUUCAGGGGUGCGGUACCGAGAGGUAAAGUCUUAACUCCAUGUUCUUUGUUCAAAAAUGACUUUCCAUGAUUGCUUGAGAUAACAAUAUCGUUUAGGUCUCCAUCCACCUUUUCUUUUUAAAUUGCAUCAGUAUUUGCAUUCACAAAAAACCAUACUCUUCUUUCGAAGAUCUUCAAACAUCCAAGUUCAUGAGUGCUCUCUUUUAUAGGUGAGACCAGCUUCCUCUUCUCACGAAGCUAUAAAGUAACAAGAUAUAUAAUUUGAGAGAAUCUUAAGCAUAUAUGUUUAAUACGAUUCAAUACUUCUAAUCCUAAAACUACUCAAGACCAGCCUCCAAAGCAGAUUAUAAUAGAAUUAAGCAUAGACUCAGAUUCUCGAAAAAUCACCAUGUUUUCAUCCUUAUUUUACCCAAUAUUUUUAUCUGCUUCCAUUUGAUAUAUUUACCUCCCCACCUUCGAUUUUUCUAUGUAAACUUCCUUGGCAAGGCCUUCGUGCAGGUACCAGAAAUCUGAAUUAUGGCAUGAUCAGUGAAAGAGAAAGCUUACACAUGUCGAGGUUCACUUAAAAUCAUUCCACCUGAGUUCACAUCAUACUUUCUCUAUGUACGACGAUUGCAGUGUGAAGCCAAACCAGAUAUUCAUACCCAAAGCGGCUUUUCAGGGAUCUAUUUGUUUGACGGUUAUUUGUUGCAUAUGCACUUUGAUUGGACAUUCUUGAAGUAUCAGCAGUUUUGACUCCAACUCCAGCUCCAGCUCCAGCUCCAAACCAAGAGCUUCCAUUAGAAAGACCUCGGUGACAUACACACGUCCCAACUGCAAAAGUUGGAAGACACAGCUACACAUCUCAUGGAUACGUUCAAACAUGCUAUUUGCGUUUAAAAAGUGAUUUUUAUAGCUUCGAUGUUGUGAUCUACGCCAAACUAUUGAGAGGAACAAGCGAGCCACUGAAUUGGGUGAAAUAGUAUGCUUCUGAUAGUCCACGCUUCAGCAUGAUCAUUGACAGCCUAUGCAACAACAUCCAGUGCUGUAGGGAAAGGAGUUAUUUUUAUUUCUUAAAUAGAGCAAUAAAGAGAAGCCUAUGGUGGAGACUGUAGUGAAAAGAUUAAUGAAGAUUAUCAAAACAAACGAUAUAUUUUUCUCUAGGUUACGUCAAAAUUAAUUUGAACACUAAUUUUAUAAUUAAUCAAACUCAAACUAGAUUUCUUUCU